CACAGCACACAAAAUGCACCCCUAACACUCACAGCACCCUCACACACACACACUGCACCCCUGGCACACACAUCACACACCCUCACUCACACAAAUGCACCUCUGACACUCACAGCUUCCUCACAUGCAUACACUGCACCCUCACACACAGCUUCCUCACAUGCACAUAGCACCCUCAUGCAAACACAGCACCCACUCACAC